UUUCCGUAGGUGAACCUGCGGAAGGAUCAUUAACGAAUAACUAUGGUGUCUUGGUUGUAGCUGGCUCCUCGGAGCAAUGUGCACGCCCGCCAUUUUUAUCUUUCCACCUGUGCACCGACUGUAGGUCUGGAUGACUCUUGCACUCCGGUGCGGAUGCGAGGAUUGCUCUCGGGCUCUCCUCGAAUUUCCAGGCUCUACGUCUUUUUACACACCCCAAACGUAUGAUACAGAAUGUAGUCAAUGGGCUUGAUCGCCUAUAAAACACUAUACAACUUUCAGCAACGGAUCUCUUGGCUCUC
rnacentral:misc_RNA from 1 species